GUCCAGACUCCUACGGGAGGCAGCAGUGGGGGAUAUUGCACAAUGGGGGAAACCCUGAUGCAGCGACGCCGCGUGUGGGAAGACGGUCCUCUGGAUUGUAAACCACUGUCCCCAGGGACGAAAAUGACGGUACCUGAAGAAGAAGCCCCGGCUAACUACGUGCCAGCAGCCGCGGUAAUACGUAGGGGGUAAGCGUUAUCCGGAUUUACUGGGUGUAAAGGGGGCGCAGACGGCGAUGCAAGCCAGGAGUGAAAGCCCGGGGCCCAACCCCGGGACUGCUCUUGGAACUGCGUGGCUGGAGUGCAGGAGGGGCAGGCGGAAUUCCUGGUGUAGCGGUGAAAUGCGUAGAUAUUAGGAGGAACACCAGUGGCGAAGGCGGCCUGCUGGACGAUGACUGACGUUGAGGCUCGAAAGCGUGGGGAGCAAACAGGAUUAGAUACCCGAGUAA
rnacentral:rRNA from 1 species